UAGUCCUUGAAAUUUCUAAAUUUACAUAUAGGUCCUCAAAUUUACAUAUAAAUCCUUAUUGAUAAAUUUCAAAAGAGGGAUAUUACACUCUCCCCCCCCUUAAAAGAAAAUUUAGUCCUCUAAAUUGGUUAUACCUCAAUCGAUGAAAAAGACGAGGAUAAACCUUUUUCAUUUCCUCUCUAGAAUGAUGUCUCCAAAUUACUUUAACUAGAGGGAUAACUCGAUUCCUUAGGAUCUUUUCCUUCUUAUCAACAAUCUGAGUGAGCUCUUCCAUAUAAGAUAAAUCCUUAUCGAUCUCCAUCAGCUCAUACUUAAUGUUAUGAGUAGGAUCAGGUAUAUACUUUCUAAUUAUCGAAACAUGAAAUAUAUUAUGGAUAUGACACAACGAUGGUGGCAAGGCAAACCUAUAAGCGACAGAACCAACCCUCUCAAGGACCUCAAAAGGUCCAAUAAAUCUUAGGCUUAACUUUCCUUUAGGAUUUGGUUCUUGAUAUCU
rnacentral:lncRNA from 1 species